rnacentral:rRNA from 1 species
UACGGAGGGUGCAAACGUUGCUCGGAAUCAUUGGGCGUAAAGCGCACGUAGGCGGUCCGGCUAGUCGGGUGUGAAAGCCCUCGGCUUAACCGAGGAAGUGCACUCGAAACUACCGGACUGGAGUACUGGAGAGGGUCGCGGAAUUCCCGGUGUAGAGGUGAAAUUCGUAGAUAUCGGGAGGAACACCAGUGGCGAAGGCGGCGGCCUGGACAGAUACUGACGCUGAGGUGCGAAAGCGUGGGGAG